GAAGGGUACAGAUGAUGGAUGAAGUGACGUGGCCUGGAUUUGGUGCUGUGUGCACUUGGUCAGCCUUCUGGUUGGGAACACCUUUCACUGACGGGACAUAACAACAAUGUGGAAGGGGAGGAGGAAGCAUCUAUUGAACACUUCCUCUAUUCUGGCGUUUUGAAUGGACAAAGAAGUUGGAAAGAAGAAAAAAGGUAACUAGCUCAUUAUGGCAAUUUUGCACUAUUUUCAGCAGGCAGACUUUAAGGUGAGUUGCAUAUUCAUUACUGGAAUAUUAGAAAAAGCCUUUCUACUUCCUUUUUUCCUUACCUAUUUAAAAUUCUGAUUUGAUUUUUUCAAACACAGCGGUCUGAAGAAUAUGAAUCUUGAAGGGAUGGGGAGAAGGAUCAAAAGUCAGUAUUUGUGCUGUUUAUACAGUAUUCCAGCCACUGCUGUGCUGCACUCAGUUUGAAGGGUUUGAAGCAGGGGAGUGUCAUGUUAGAUUUGCAUUUUCCAAAGAUCACUGGCUACAGACUACAUGCGGAUUGUGGAAUGGGAAGAAUAGACAACAGAAGACCAGUCCUUUGACUAUUGCAGAAGUUCUGGUGGGGGAUUAUGGGAGCUUGAACCAAGGCAUUAGCAGAAGAAAUGAUAAGGACUGGCUAGAACCACAUCUGAACUGACUGGUUUCCCAUGAAACACACUUCCUUUAAGGAGCUUAUAAUGUAAUUGAAGAGGCAACUCAUAUGUAUAAAAUCACAGAAACAGUGUAUAAUUAGGAAGUAAAACGAAUAGUUCAAACUCUGAGGGACACAGCACUUGAGAGCAAGACAUGGGUCAGAACUCUAAUGGUUGGGAUUUGGAGAGAGAGGCCAGAGCAAAAGAGGUAGCAAAAGGCAGACAAUAAAGGAGGGGCCCUAUACAGCAGAAAUGGCACAUUGCGGGGGAGGGGGAAGAACAAAUCUCAUUAGAUAAGGUCAAAUUAUGAGACCUUAACAAGACAGAGUUUGAUGUGAGAUUAAAGAAUGAGUCAUUAAAAAUGUUUUACAUCAGACGGUUACAAGAUGAAAGCAAGGUUUAACAAAGUUUAGUUUUAACAAACUCUUGUGGUUAAUUAGACCAAGGAGCUCGCUGCCUGUGGGGUUGUUGAGUGGGGACAGGACUUGGUGGCAAUUAGUAAUGAGGACAAGGAAUUUAGUAUUAGGAACAUCCAACAGGUUGGAGAUGACUCAUUUUCUUUAGACAGACAAUGAGCUUGAAAUGAUGAUAAGUUUUCUAAUAAUAAAUGUUUAAAGGCAAUAUAGACUGGGUGGUUUUAUUCAUAGACUGGGUGGUUUUAUUAGUUGUGUUCCUCUGCAUUGCUUACAAUCCCAUCUUGUCUUUCUUCAUUAGUGUCCCCAAAGGCAUGUUUAUGAUUUGUGCAAAGGAAAAUUCUGCUUUCUGAAGCAGAACGAUAUACUCUGAUACAUUAUUUCAACUUCAUGUUAAGUAAUAUUUUGACAUAAUAAAAUUGA